rnacentral:ncRNA from 1 species
UUCUUCGGGGCUGGGUGAAAUUCCCAACCGGCGGUAUAGUCCGCGACCUGCGCAGAAUAUCUGCGUGGCUGAUUUGGUGCAAUUCCAAAACCGACAGUAAAGUCUGGAUGAGAGAAGAA